rnacentral:rRNA from 1 species
GACGAACGCUGGCGGCGUGCUUAACACAUGCAAGUCGAACGGAAAGGCCCUGCUUGCAGGGUACUCGAGUGGCGAACGGGUGAGUAACACGUGGGUGAUCUGCCCUGCACUUCGGGAUAAGCCUGGGAAACUGGGUCUAAUACCGGACAGGAGCCAUUUUUAGUGUGAUGGUUGGAAAGUUUUUUCGGUGUAGGAUGAGCUCGCGGCCUAUCAGCUUGUUGGUGGGGUAAUGGCCUACCAAGGCGGCGACGGGUAGCCGGCCUGGGAGGGUGGACGGCCACAUUGGGACUGAGAUACGGCCCAGACUCCUACGGGAGGCAGCAGUGGGGAAUAUUGCACAAUGGGCGCAAGCCUGAUGCAGCGACGCCGCGUGGGUGAUGACGGCCUUCGGGUUGUAAACUCCUUUCGCUAGGGACGAAGCUUUUGUGACGGUACCUAGAUAAGAAGCACCGGCUAACUACGUG